UGGGGAAUUUUGGACAAUGGGCGAAAGCCUGAUCCAGCAAUGCCGCGUGUGUGAAGAAGGCCUUCGGGUUGUAAAGCACUUUUGUCCGGAAAGAAAUCCUUGGCUCUAAUACAGUCGGGGGAUGACGGUACCGGAAGAAUAAGCACCGGCUAACUACGUGCCAGCAGCCGCGGUAAUACGUAGGGUGCAAGCGUUAAUCGGAAUUACUGGGCGUAAAGCGUGCGCAGGCGGUUUGCUAAGACCGAUGUGAAAUCCCCGGGCUCAACCUGGGAACUGCAUUGGUGACUGGCAGGCUAGAGUAUGGCAGAGGGGGGUAGAAUUCCACGUGUAGCAGUGAAAUGCGUAGAGAUGUGGAGGAAUACCGAUGGCGAAGGCAGCCCCCUGGCCAAUACUGACGCUCAUGCACGAAAGCGUGGGAGAGCNGAUAGCUNCCUGGUAGUCCACGCCCUAAACGAUGUCAACUAGUUGUUGGGGAUUCAUUUCCUUAGUAACGUAGCUAACGCGUGAAGUUGACCGCCUGGGGAGUACGGUCGCAAGAUUAAAACUCAAAGGAAUUGACGGGGUCAUAGCUG
rnacentral:rRNA from 1 species